rnacentral:rRNA from 1 species
GAUGAACGCUGGCGGCGUGCCUAAUACAUGCAAGUCGAGCGAACAGACGAGGAGCUUGCUCCUCUGACGUUAGCGGCGGACGGGUGAGUAACACGUGGAUAACCUACCUAUAAGACUGGGAUAACUUCGGGAAACCGGAGCUAAUACCGGAUAAUAUAUUGAACCGCAUGGUUCAAUAGUGAAAGACGGUUUUGCUGUCACUUAUAGAUGGAUCCGCGCCGCAUUAGCUAGUUGUUAAGGUAACGGCUUACCAAGGCAACGAUGCGUAGCCGACCUGAGAGGGUGAUCGGCCACACUGGAACUGAGACACGGUCCAGACUCCUACGGGAGGCAGCAGUAGGGAAUCUUCCGCAAUGGGCGAAAGCCUGACGGAGCAACGCCGCGUGAGUGAUGAAGGUCUUCGGAUCGUAAAACUCUGUUAUUAGGGAAGAACAAAUGUGUACGUAACUAUGCACGUCUUGACGGUACCUAAUCAGAAAGCCACGGCUAACUACGUG